rnacentral:rRNA from 1 species
AACGCGAAGAACCUUACCCAGGUUUGACAUCCUUGGAAUUUCUCCGAAAGGAUAAAGUGCUUUAUUGAGCCAAGUGACAGGUGUUGCAUGGCCGUCGUCAGCUCGUGUCGUGAGAUGUUUGGUUAAGUCCAUCAACGAGCGCAACCCUUAUAGUUAGUUGUAUUUCUCUAGCUAGACUGCCCUGGCAACAGGGAGGAAGGAGGGGAUGAUGUCAGGUCAGUAUUACCCUUACAUCUGGGGCUACAAACACGCUACAAUGGCCGGUACAAAGGGCAGCCAAGUCGUAAGACGGAGCAAAUCCCAUCAAAGCCGGUCCCAGUUCGGAUUGUAGGCUGAAACUCGCCUGCAUGAAGUCGGAAUCGCUAGUAACGGUAGGUCAGCUAUACUACCGUGAAUACGUUCCCGGGCCUUGUACACACCGCGUGUCU